CCGGCGAAGUCGAACCGUGACUUGUGUCGUCCGGCCAAUAAAAUUGCAAAGAGUGCCCGUGAAUCACCACAAAAUGAGCGCGGCUGCAGAAAACACAAAAUUUACUCGCUAGCAAGCCACUCACCAAUCCACCAGGCCGCAUCUCUCCUUGCUCGCGUCGUCUCCCCUCCCUAGCUAUCGGCUGAUCCCCCUUUGCGCCGCCACCUUCACAGCUCGAUUCCGGACAGCUCCGGCAAGGCCUCAAGCCGCUGAUCUACGCCCCAACACCAGAUCAUCCUCCUCCAUAGGCUCCACAUCGUAAAGCCUUCAAUCUGCAAACCCCCGACGAACCCUUGACGCCCCAACACACCAAAUCCUACCCAGCUCCCGGUCGAUACCCUCUGCACCACCGCCAUGUUUUGACGUGCGCGUGGAGUUCUCCGUCGGCUGCUCAGCUCGGCUCCCUCUGCAUCCAUCCCCGCAACUCCAUCCGCCAAUAGCGUCCGGGACGACGCCUCGGAUGUCCAUCACGGCCGUCGUCGGCAGCCCGGCCGGCUCCCCUCUCCAGAGGUGCAUGCUCAACAGCUCAAGAAACCAUGGAACCUCAGGUUAGGAAAGAUGUCGCUCACUGCUUAGAUGCAGCGCUAGUGGUUAUGGUGAUGUCUCCGUGCCCAGUAGCCAUGGAUGUCGCUGUCCUGCUGCUCAGCCAUGGAAAACCUGAGCAUCUCCAUAAAGUACGGCGUCAAGAGACCAGCCAUGGUCAUGGAUUUGGAUGUCAACUACCCGCCUCAAGCACAAAUGCUUCGCCAAGAACAAAUCUUAUGCCGCCAGGUCAAUAGUUUUGUUCACAUCACAACAGAAGAUUCUCAUCAUUGAGAUGAGCAUCCUGAAAACCAAAUUCAUCAUGGUGUUUCAGUAUACGAAGGGCAUAGCUUACGACUCCAUCAUCGGCAGCUACCACACUCCUGAUGACGCCGGAGAAGACUCUGCCAACGUCCUACUGGUCGGCCUUUGACGACCUCAGGCACGGAGGUGACCAGGAUGGAUAUGCUCACCCGCAUCACCAUCAAAUACGAAGUUGAGGUUGGGCUUUCGACUAGAUCGAGCAUGCUUGCGGAUUUUGUUGGCUUGGUAAGAAUUCAACAUGUAAUGAUUUUUUUGGUAACUUUCCUCUACUAAUAAUGUUGGCAUUAAUAUCCUAAAUGGUGGAAAGUAAAGAUCAUAGUUACCGAAUUUUAUGCUUAUAUGUGGUGAUCCAAUUUACAUGUACUAGAGUUCGUUUUUUCUGUGCGUAAUUACUGUACCAACUUGUUGUGUUGACUGCUUCAUAUUUGUAAAAAGGAGCACAAAAGCUGAGUUAUUAAUUACUAGUAUUAAUUUUUUUGUCUCGUGUACCAAUGUUUGCGCAUGAUAGACUUAUGUUAUUCACCAAUGUGUAUCAUCAUGUGAAAUGUUAAGUAUUUGUGAUUGAAGCAAGCAAGCAGUGUUAAGCUAGUUUUCUACUAGUUGACACUUGGCAGUAUGUUCCAUUCUUUGCUCUCAUUUCGUGCACUCCCAAGUCUACAAGCAUGCAAGGUCCUUUAUGCUUUCAUUCUUAAUAGUUAAACGACAAUACAGAGUAAUAGAUAAUAGAAAAUAUAAACAUUCCCUACUUGGAAGUCUUACUACCAAAAAUCAUCUUUUUACAGUUGCACUUCAUAAAAUUUAGUACCAGAAACUGCUUUCUAUAUAGGUGAUUCACAACUUCAAAAUCAGUUGUUUUGGUCCGUAUUAUAAGUUUUGAUUGCUGCUGUGAUACAUGAGAAGAAAAAAAAAGAGCUCAUAUGUGAAUUAUGCUAUAUAGAGUAGCUAUUGGAUUGGGUAAUAGGACAUGGUUGCUACUUUCAGUCCUUGAUAGCGCGGACUUUAUCCAUGUAAAGAACAUUUAGAAAUUUAUAACUCGAUCUUAGCAUUUGGGCAUUUAGUUUGUUAUUGCCUUCACAAUGGUAUUAUCUUGAUUUUUUACUCUGGUAUUGAACAUGCAUAUCUUUUACUUUUAUGCCUUGCCAAAAAAUGGCAUGUGCAUAAAUUAUGUAUCUGUGGCAGGUCACCAAAUGGGUCUCGCACCAUUUGUCCAAUGAGUUCUGCAGAGGAAGAUACGGCUCACUGUUGUUGUUACUGUAGAGGAUGUCUCCCUUGUUGCUGAUGCAGCUGUCAUGUCCCACGGCUCGACCGUUGAUGACCAAUGCUUCAUUGAGUUAGAGGAUUGUAGGAACCCGCACGCCGGCAUCACCAUCAAGCAUGUUGUCUAGCCUAGCUUCUUGUUCAAGUUGGUAGUCACAUGCAACACUGGUGCAAUUAGCUGUUUGCCAUGGCGCUGCCUCAUGUUGUCCUGCAUGACCGAGCUGCAUGUGUUGUGCAUGUGAUGCUGUGAAACUCCUGUCAGAUCUAGGCCAUACUGGAACAUGGUUUUUCUCCAACACGAUUCCCAAUCCAUCAUGAAAAAUGUCACGAGUAGUGUGGCUGGAAUCAAGAAGGCUACAGUCACCACCAUGAAGAUGCUAAUAGAUACUCUGGGAAUUUUUCUCUUGCUUGUCCUACGCCAUUUAUAAACUCUGCAUGGAGAUGAUUAAGAUGACAUGAAUGUACCAGAUAUGCAUGUUUGCUGCUGGCCAUGCUUCACGAUCUGGACCCUGCAUGUUCAGAGAGCAAGGCUUACUUAGAAGUAGCGAAGAAUGAUCCUAAUUUUUCAUAGUCUCUCAUACAUGAACUUGAGCAACUCUACAAUAUUUAUAUUUGUUGGUUGGAUGAGCGUCCCAUUUUGGUGAUGAAGAAGCCAUGGGCUGGCUGGAGUCCAUGUGUUACUACUAGUAGGUUUUGUGCCAAUUCACACUAAAUGUAUUUUUCACGAUUUUGAGGCAGCACGUGUAGAGAACAAGUUGUGUGUAUAAGAUUGGAAAUCGGUGGAUUUAUCUCUAAUUACUUGUUGGCAGUUGCCAUCAGUUUGCUCCAUCAAGUUAAUUU